rnacentral:rRNA from 1 species
CCUACGGGUGGCUGCAGUCGAGAAUCAUUCACAAUGGGGGAAACCCUGAUGGUGCGACGCCGCGUGGGGGAAUGAAGGUCUUCGGAUUGUAAACCCCUGUCAUGUGGGAGCAACUCAAAAUGAUAGUACCACAAGAGGAAGUGACGGCUAACUCUGUGCCAGCAGCCGCGGUAAUACAGAGGUCUCAAGCUUUGGUCGGAAUCACUGGGCGUAAAGCGUGCGUAGGCAGUUUAUGAAGUCGUGUGGGGAAGGCGCGGGCGCAACCCGCGGACGGCACAUUGAACUGCGAGACUUGCGUAAGGGAGGGGGAACCGGAAUGCUCGGGGUAGCAGUGAAAUGCGUAGAUAACGAG